UGAGCAGAGCCGCAGUAUCGCUCAGCCGCUCUCUCUCGCUAAAACCCCUCCGCCGAGACUGUGGCAACCACGUCAAGUAGUCCCCCCGGUCUCACUGCCGCGAGCCUUCGCUUUCUCAUCCCCUUGCGAGGGUUAGGACGAGCGAAAAACAAGCCCGGCGCGUUCUGGGAUUUGAAGGACGCUUCGGCCGGCGUGAAAAACGAAGUUGUGCGUGUAAAUAUGCUGUGUGUGAGGCGGGGGGAACGAGUCCCGGCCGCGGCGGCGGCAUACAGUCGACAAACGACGGAGUGAGAGAGCCGAAUAUCUCGUUUAGCGAGAGGGGAGGGGAGUGAGCGGGAAAACGCGGUUCGGAGCUGGGAACAGCCUUUCCCUCCCCCACCCCCACUCCCUAGCCGGGGGCGCUUCUCACUGAGUUUCAGAGGCGCCAAGCUCUGCCGAGCCUGGGAGCUUCGAGCCCGUCCUCUUUACACAGAGUAAAGGGGGCGCCUGCUCCCUGCCUUUCAUUUAGUCCUCCUCGCAAGCCGUGUGUAUGUGCCAGUUUCAGCCAGACAACCCCCACCCCACCCGACGCACACACUGAGGGCGCCCCAGUUUUCAGUCACGGGGCAUCCGCCUCAGAUUUCUGUUGCCCAACCUAACACGGACGUUUGCGGCGAAAUAAAUACCUGGGGAAACACAUACACGUUUUCACCCCUUCCCCAAUUAUUGCCGCACUACAAGAGCUUUAAAGUGUGGCUUUUGAAAAUAAGGCAGCAACCCCCCCACCCCACCGUGAAUCCUGGAAUUCACUUCAUAAAACACCUCAGCAAUAUCAAGAGCCCAACUGAGUUAAGAAUUGCCCCUUUAUGUUUUAUAAAGCAUUCUCUGACCUAUGAAACAACCAUCGUAUUAAGUACAGAGCUCCCUGGAAGCGGUGCACUUGGGUUUUUAUACUGUAAACUACCCUGUGGUCCUCAAAUGAAGGGUGAUAGAGAAAUAAAUAACUGCAGACACUGGACUAUAAGACCUUCAAAACUGUGAUAAGCCAGUCCUGCUCUAUUUGUGGGGGGCAUCUCCUGCACAUUGCCCUAAACUUUGGCUCCAAAGCCCUGCCCUGACAACAGCCCUGAAGCUGUGCCUGCGGUCACAACAUUUUUUUAGAGACAGAAAACGUUUCGUUGUAGACACCCUCUGGAUUAGGGGAAAUAUUCCUUCAUUUCUGUGGAUCUUUCCCUCAAGUGUACAGAUAUAACUAGAGCAGCAAAUUUGUCCUCUGAAAUAGUGAUGACGUCGCAGAAUUGAAAGCAGGACUGGAGUGAAGCAGGGAGAUGGGGAGCAAAGUUGGAAAGCAGGAAAGACCCUGCUUGUAGAUGAGAUAGGGGUGGGUGGGUUAAGAACAAAGGAAUCAGCAGCCUUUGGUGAUUAAUUUGCAGAAAAUAUGGACAGGAAGGGCACAGGAAUCAUAGGAAGAAGCUAGUGGCGCUGCUUCCAAUUCAGACAUUCAUUUCUUGCUGUGUUGCAUCUGGUUCUGAGCUCUCGUUCUGACAAGAGUGAAGGAUUUAAGAGGAAAUGCUGAAGGGAAAGGGGGAUUUGAAAAGUUGGUGGAUAUUUCAGGAGGAAGUGCUAACUAGAACUUGGGUGGGCAGCAAGAUUUGUAAAACUUUGGCCAGCUUUCAACAGAGAGCCAGUGACAUUGGCUCUGCUCAUAGACUCAUGCCCAAGGGCUUAUCAGUGGUGUCCAAAUUUUUUUCAAAGAGUGCCAGAUUUGAUGAAGUGAAGGGCUGUGGGGGCCGACCAAAGUUGUUGAGCUUUUCUAAGGGUUGGAGUUGUUGAGCUUCUUUUAGGAUUGAAGAUGUUGAGGUUUUUUUAGGAUUUUAGCCCAAGAUAUAAACUGCCACAGGGGCCGUAUUAAACCAACCCCAAAAUGAUUAAGCCCCUAAAACAGACUUUGGACAGGCCUGGCUUAGAUGGAGGCAAAGGGCUCUUUUAAAAAUGUCUCCACAGUACAAACUACAACAGCAGCUUUGGCAGAGCCCUUUCCUUACACAUCUCGGAGGCUCACUACCAUUUCCCAAUACCUUGGCUUGCUCGCAGGAGAGAGUCACCAAGGUGCAUAAUGAGGAGAGGGCCAUGCCAAAGCCUUCUUUGCUGUAUAUGCUGACAGAGAGUAGGUUAGAAAGCCUUUUGCUUGUGACUCAACUUGGAAGUAGCAGUGAGUGUCCUUGGGAUCAGAGGAUAUGCAGGAGACCAGAUGAAAAACUUUUAGGGGAUGACUGUGCCCCCCAGGUUUUCCUCUCCUAAAAUAUAUGUCAAUUAACACAUGGCUUACAAUUUCUAAAAGUAUUGUUUUUAAACAGGGCCGCAGAGCAGCUAAUGGGGCAACUGACAGAAUCGUUCCUAAUACACCUUCAUUCCCAUUGAUUCUGCAAAAGAGAAGUUCUGAGCUCUACUUCUAUGGCAUUUUUUCCACCAAAAUCAAAUCCAGAGAAGUCUUGCUUUGUCAAACAGUAAGUAUACAGUUACAUAGGUUCCUUCCUUUGUGGAAAUCACAUUCUGGCAGAACUACAGCAUAUAGCACACUUUUUCGGCCUUUAAACCAGCUUAUUUUUUUAAAAUGGGGUUUUAAAUGAUCUGUCUUUCAAAAGGAAAUAGUUUUCUCAUUACCCCUUUCCACUGGGUAUGUUAUUCCCACCCACAUGGAAUGAUAAUCCUGAGUCUCUUUCCCAGAUAAAGAAAAUUAAGAAUCUGGCUGGGCUUCUUGCACAUUUUACUUUGCAGUACACUCUGCAAAUCCUCACUCUGGAUUUCUACCAGAGCUUCGCAUCCUCCAAUUAAGCUAGCUGGGAGACAGGGGCAAAAACAGUGAUCAUUCUGAAGACUUGUUUUCUACUGAUUCAAUUUCUACAUCUCAGUUACCCAGUGUACCUAUUAACCCUGAGAAAGAGGGCAAAAUCCUAAGUAUUCUCAAGCUUAUUCUUGCUGUUUUUCUUAUCCCAUUUGUAGCCACAAAGGCUUCGCAUCCUCCUGUUAGUGCUGCUGAAUAGAGCAGAGGACUGAUGAGAAUUCUCAGGCCUUGCUCUGGUUUCCCCGCCCCCUCCAUUACCCCAUCCCCCCUCAAGGCUCCCAUAACUUGCAUCUCUCCUGUUAACAUUGAAGAGAGGGGAAUACAAGAAGCUCUGAUGGUCCCCCCCCCAGCUUUUUAUAUAUAUAUUCUCUCUACCAGUCAAAACCUAUAUACACAGCCCUGUCUAAUUACAAAACCCACAGCCAGCUUUGUUGUCACAUCUGACUGACACACACAGCCCAACUACUCAGCUCAACAGAAAACAAAAACAGAACUGCCUGCAUUUCACUUCUAUUUCCAGCGGUACCUUGGGCUGCAUACGCUUCAGGUUACAGACUCCGCUAACCCAGAAAUAGUACCUCGGGUUAAGAACUUUGCUUCAGGAUGAGAACAGAAAUCGUGCUCCAGUGGUGCGGCAGCAGCAGGAGGCCCCAUUAGCUAAAGUGGUGCUUCAGGUUAAGAACGGACCUCCGGAACGAAUUAAGUACUUAACCUGAGGUACCACUGUACAUUUAAUGGGCAUUGAUAGUUCUUUAUUUUUCUUCUUAUUAUCAUCCUCAAAUAUUCAGUUACUGCAUAGUUCUUCAGAUGCUUGAUUAGCGCCCUUUUAAAAAAGUUAAAUCUUUGUCAUUUUUUCUGGAUUGCAAAGUGUCUCUUUAACCUGGAGGUUUUCAACCUUUUUGUGUCCAGGGCUCCCCUGACCAACUACAUUCUUUCUGCCUCCUCUCCUCUCUCCUUGGGAGUCCUUUGGGCAGCAGCUGCCACCACCACUGGUCUCUGAGUGGCCCCCAUCCUAUAAAGAGUUUUAUACCAAUAAAGAGAAGUGCCUCCUUAUACCACCCCACAAGGGCCUGGGAAGAGGCUACCCCCAGCCUUCGUGGUCUGACAGAGACUGGCCAAAGGUGAACCUAACUCAACUUGGGAGGCAGCAGUGGCAACAGCAGUGCCAGGCAUUCAGCUCCCAGGCAGGAAUUGCACACGGCAAGCAUUUUAAUUGCACACUUCUUAUUUUUAUUCACACACACACAUACACACACAGAGUUACCAGUGUGUUUUCCCUAUACCCCUUGUUGAUCAUUGAGGCUACCCACUUACUUGGGAAUAAGGUUGGAGAAUACUGACCUGGGACUUUGGAAAUACAUUGCACUGACAUACAGUCAUACAUUGGGUUACAGACGCUUCAGGUUCCGUUUUUUCGGGUUACGGACCGCCGAAACCCAGAAGUACCGGAACAGGUUACUUCCGGGUUUUGGUGGCCGGCAUGCGCAGAAGCGCUGAAACGCAACCCGCGCGUGUGCAGACACGCCGCUGUGGGUUGUGAACACUGUGGGUUGCCAAUGUGCAUCCCGCAAGGAUCACGUUCGCAAAGUAUUGGAAGACACAAGAUCUACCCACCCUGGAAGAAUGGCAGAUGAAGGUGAUUGACUAUAUGGAACUGGCGGAAAUGACUGGCAGAAUCCGAGACCAGGGAGAAGAGUCGGUGGAAGAAGAUUGGAAGAAAUUUAAAGACUAUUUACAGAAAUAUUGUAAAAUUAAUGAAUGUUAGAAUGAUGUUGGAUAGAAAUUAAGUGGUUUUUAGCUGAAAUACUAUAAGGGAAUAUGAAAAAUGGAUUACUAACAGGUAAAGAUUUAAUGUUACAAUACUUUAAGAUUAAGGAUUAGGAUAAACAAAGAGGGGAAGGAUUUGCUGAACCAACAAACUGAACUGGAAUACAAAAAAGGGAGGCAUGAGGAGGUCCUGGAAACAAGCUAAUGAAAAAUAAGUAAUGGAAAGAUUGAGUUGUUUUUAACUUUUUUUUUUUUUUUUACUUUGUAAUAUUUUGAAAACCUUAAUAAAUAUCUUAUAAAAAAAAAAUACAAAAAGGGAGGUGUGAGGAGGUCAGGGAAACAAGUAAAUGAAAGACAAGACAUGGAAAGAUUGAUUUGUUUUUAAGUGUUUUUACUUUUCUGUAUUUUGUAUUUUUUCUUUUCUUUUUUUCUCUUUUUCCUAUUUUUGUAACCUUUUUUGAAACUGUAAUAAAUAUCAUUUUA